rfam:Picea glauca, whole genome shotgun sequence.
AUGUACAUUCCUACAACAUAGCAUUAAUGCAGUGGAUCCCAUUAGAACUCCAAAAUUAAGUGUUCUUAGGCUAGAGUGGUAUUGGGAUGGGUGAACGCCCAAGAAUUCCUAGUGUUUUACAUG